UGCCUGUGAUGUGAGAAAAUAUUUGCUACUCUUAGCGUCUGAUGAUUAUUUCCACCAAGAUCUCUGAGUCA